rnacentral:rRNA from 1 species
UACGAAGGUGGCAAGCGUUGUUCGGAAUCACUGGGCGUAAAGCGUACGCAGGCUGUCUGUUAAGUCGGGGGUGAAAUCCCGGGGCUCAACCCCGGAACUGCCUUCGAUACUGGCAGGCUAGAGUCCGUGAGAGGAGUGUGGAAUUCCUAGUGUAGAGGUGAAAUUCGUAGAUAUUAGGAGGAACACCAGUGGCGAAGGCGACACUCUGGCGCGGUACUGACGCUCAUGUACUAAAGUGUGGGGAGCAAACAGG